rnacentral:rRNA from 1 species
AUGAACGCUAGCGGGAGGCCUAACACAUGCAAGCCGAGCGGUAUUGUUUCUUCGGAAAUGAGAGAGCGGCGUACGGGUGCGGAGCACGUGUGCAACCUGCCUUUAUCUGGGGGAUAGCCUUUCGAAAGGAAGAUUAAUACUCCAUAAUAUAUUGAACGGCAUCGUUUAAUAUUGAAAGCUCCGGCGGAUAGAGAUGGGCACGCGCAAGAUUAGCUAGUUGGUGAGGUAACGGCUCACCAAGGCGAUGAUCUUU